GUGCUGUCUGCCUCGAACUGUGGGGC
rnacentral:piRNA from 1 species